rnacentral:lncRNA from 1 species
CCCCACCUACACUCGCCAGAACCGCAUCUCGACCGUCCAUUAAAUUAGCAUCAUAUCCAACCGACGACGCACAUUUCUUCAUCACCAAACUCUUGUCUUGCACACCGAUAAAGGUGGUGUUAUCGUACUUGACGAAACACCCGUCUAGCUGUGCAGCCCCGCCGCAUGUUUGUGGGCAGAGGGAACCGAGUUGACUCACUGAGUGGGCCACACAGGUGGCGCAGUCGGGCUGGGCCAGGUCACCUCUGCACUGGAAGAGGCCGGAGACUACGUCCUGUGGGCUUGGGCCUGUGAUGGUGUAUUUGUUGUAGGAUGAGGAUGUGGCUGAGCUGGCCAGGGAGGUGAGGAGUGAGUCGAGAUUUGACUCGUAAGGGGAGCCCGGAGUGUACUUUAUCUUGGAGCAACCACCGUAGAUUACAGUGUCUGAAGUGGAAUGUGUAACGUCGAGGAAAGGUGACAGUGUAAUUAUGAGGACGGUGAUUAUAUUAUGGAGUGUUGAACGGGCCAUUUAUAUGUGUGUGUGUGUGUGUUUUUGUCAGUGUAUUUACAGAGUGAAAGAAGGGAGAGAGAUGUUAUGUUCUUAUGGAAUGUGUGUAAAAUAUAUACACUUACAUAAAUUUUCUUGUGUUACACAAUAGUAGUAUGUAGUUUGUAUUGUAUGUAGCCAUUCCGGAAUUCUAUAUAUAAUUUGCCCAUUUGGUCCCAGAAGGCUACGUGAGUUUAAGUAGUAUAUAUUGUUUGUUUUGCUGUCACUAAUGCAUUAGUAAUAUGAUAUUUUUCAUCCGAAAAUUCCAGAAAAUUACAAAAAUAGAACAGAGCGAUGUGAGAGGCGCCACCUAGACGCCCCUCGCUUCUCCUUUAUAUAAGUAUAUUGAUUUAUACUUACCGAUUAAGCACUCCAUUUUGGACCCUAGCAAUCUAGGAUCAACUUUAACACGUUAUUUGUGGUGUUUUUUCCUAAAGUUUAUAUCACGUUAUUAGUGGUUUGUAAAUUUACAAGUUAAAACCAAGAUUACUUGAGCAUCUCCGGUGGGGAAUUAGAAAAAGAGAGGAUUCUAGCCACCUCUGAUUAUGAGCUAAAAUUAUUAUACAUAUAUUACCGAGUGUUUUUCCGGUAUAUAUUAUUAAAUACAAAUUUAAAUGCCAACUAAUAUUUUUUAAAGUAUGAGAAGGUUUGUGAGUUUUGAAAAUAGAUUGCGAGAUGAGUCUUGGCAAGACUUAGAAUGGGAUAGGCCCUAAUGAGGAGAUGGCGGGAUAAAAAUUGACUCUUGAGUCAUUCUGGGUUCCAUCUGAAAUCGUUAUGAGCUUUCCAUCUAAAGUAGUAGUGAGGUUUUAGUGGGCUCGAUGUGGAUUGGACGAGGCGGACUGGCUCCAAACGGUGUUGACAUCUUGGAGCAAGGUCAUAUAGACCUAAUUUUUUGAAUUCGUAUUUAAAAUUGGUAUUUAUUUAUAUUCGAUAAUUAGCGCAUAAAUUAUAAAUAAAAAUUUAGAGAUUGUGUUAAUAAAAUAAAUUUUAAAAUACAUUUUCCUUUUGUAUAAUUUAAGUUUGGCUGUAUUAGUCAAAAAAGAAUUUAAAUCAAUAUUCAUUAUAGUAAAGAUUCUGUCGGUCAAAAGUUCUGACUUGAGUUCAAUCCGUUCUGAAUUCUAUAAUUAUAAAAGAAAUUUAAAUGUAAAUUUUGAUCAACCUAACCCAAUCCAUUACUAUAUGCAAGGAAACAAAACCAAUACAACAUAUUAAAAAGUCAUUCUAAAUUCACAUUUGUCAUUUUGAUAGUCUUAAACCAUGUCAUAGAACAGUGGCUACUACUUACAAUUAUUUCGAACCGUAAAAGAUUAUUUCAAACUGUAAACGAGAAGGGAAUCAAUCUCCCUCACUUCAUCUAAGCUUUCAGAUCAGAACACCUUUCCAGCUUAUGUCCACAAUCUCCUUCUCCUAGCAAAAUAUAAUCAAGAUAUUGAGGAUGCACUACACAUAUGAACCAAAGCCGAUUGAUAACAAAUUACAAAUCUGACAAAAAUAUUAUUAAUAAGUAUAAUUGGAUAGAGCUUGAACACAUGAAAAUAUAUAUGACUACCAUUCAGCUAAACACCUUGGACAAAAUAUAGAAUAUUAGUUCUCCCAAACUGCAUUUCCUUUCAGUAUUCUAGUAACUAAAUUGAUUAAUUUUUGACUGAAAAAUUAAAAAUAUUUAAUUAUCAUUUCAAAAGAAUAGAAAGUUAUAUUUUGAAAAUAGACUGGAUAUAUAUUUUCUUUUAUUUUUUCAAUUAUAUAAUGCAAAAUAAAUUUCAAUCGAAAUAUAAUUAACUUAACAGGCUAAAAACCAGAAGCUACAUGUAUUGCAGGAUUGAGGAAGCAUUAUAAUUUUUGAACCAGAGAGAGGACAUACCGGCAUUGCCUCCCAACACCCUUCCCAGGAAAGUUAGGAAGAUUACGAGGAGAACCACCCCAGCUAAUAUUCCAAUUAUUAUCGCAAAUGUUUGCUCACCUUCCGAAUGAUCUUCAUCAGAAUUCCCGGAUUCGGCUUGAUUAGAAUUCCCUGAAUCAUUAAUUUCUACGUCCACAUAUUGUAUAUCAGUAGUCGAAAUGAUACGUAAAAGAAUUUUUAUAAAUUUAAUGUCAUUCGUAACAAUAUAAUGUGGCAGAAGUUACCCUGGUCAGGUUUAAAAGCAUGAUCUCCAGUUGUAGAUGAAUACUUGGCGUAACACUUGGCCAAAAACAUUUCUCCAGAAACUGCACCCUCACAAUCACUUUUCAGCCGUCCGAUCGCCUCCAUCACGCAAUCUUGGCACUCACUCGCACUCAAAUCCUCCACACACUGACUCAUCCCCUGCGUGUUCCCGGACCCACCCACCCUAUACGAUCCGGUGGCCCCACCUACACUCGCCAGAACCGCAUCUCGACCGUCCAUUAAAUUAGCAUCAUAUCCAACCGACGACGCACAUUUCUUCAUCACCAAACUCUUGUCUUGCACACCGAUAAAGGUGGUGUUAUCGUACUUGACGAAACACCCGUCUAGCUGUGCAGCCCCGCCGCAUGUUUGUGGGCAGAGGGAACCGAGUUGACUCACUGAGUGGGCCACACAGGUGGCGCAGUCGGGCUGGGCCAGGUCACCUCUGCACUGGAAGAGGCCGGAGACUACGUCCUGUGGGCUUGGGCCUGUGAUGGUGUAUUUGUUGUAGGAUGAGGAUGUGGCUGAGCUGGCCAGGGAG